UCAAUAUAGAUUGAUUAGUUUUUAUUUAUUAAUUUUUUUUUGUUUAAAAUUUAAAUAUUAGAAAUAACUGUAAAAUUUAAAGUUUUAGUAUUGUUUAAAGAAAAAAUAAUUUUAAUAAUAGUUUAAUAGUAUUGUAAAAGAAAAUUGAAAUAAUUUGAAAAAUUUUUAUUUUAAAAGAAAAUUUAAUUUAUUGUACCUUGUGUAUCAGUGUUUAUUAAAUAAAAAGUAUAAAUAUAUUUUUCUCGAUUUUAAAAGAGUUAAUAUAAUAUAUAAGUUAAUGUAAUAAAAUUAUUUAUAAUAUUAUAUUAGAAAUGAAAUGUUAUUCGUUUUUAAAGGUAUCUAGUUUUCUAAGAAAUGAAUUUAAUUCAGAAAUUAUAAAUUUAUUAAUUUUUUUAUUUAAAUUAAUAAUUUAUAAUUUUAAUAUUUUAUGGGAUAAGCUAUAAAAUAAAUUUUUAAAAAUAAUAAAUAAAUUUAAUAAAUAUAUGCUUAGAAUUAGCAAUUAUUAAAAAAUGUGUUAUAAUUUAUUUUAUAAAUUAAAUUAUUUAUUAUAUUUUAAUUAUUUAUUAGAAUAUUAAUUUUAAUUUUUAAAGUUAAGAAAUAAUGAUAGAAUUAGUAUAUUUUUAUGUUUAGAUAAAUUUUAAUGAAAAGUUUAAAUAAAGAAUUCGGCAAAAAUAAUGUUCGCCUGUUUAACAAAAACAUGUCUUUUUGAAUUAAAUUUAAAGUCUAACCUGCCCACUGAAAUUUUAAAUGGCCGCAGUAUUCUGACUGUGCAAAGGUAGCAUAAUCAUUAGUCUUUUAAUUGAAGGCUGGAAUGAAUGGUUGGACGAAAUAUUAACUGUUUCAUUUAAAUUUUUUAUAGAAUUUUAUUUUUUAGUCAAAAAGCUAAAAUAAAUUUAAAAGACGAGAAGACCCUAUAAAUCUUUAUAUUUUUUUUAUUUUAAUUGUAAAGAUUUAUUUUAUUUUAAUAAAUAAAAAUAUUUUAUUGGGGUGAUAUUAAAAUUUAAAAAACUUUUAAUUUUUAAAAACAUUAAUUUAUGAAUAAUUGAUCCAUUAAUAAUGAUUAAAAAAUUAAGUUACUUUAGGGAUAACAGCGUAAUUUUUUUGGAGAGUUCAUAUCGAUAAAAAAGAUUGCGACCUCGAUGUUGGAUUAAGAUAUAAUUUUGGGUGUAGCCGUUCAAAUUUUAAGUCUGUUCGACUUUUAAAUUCUUACAUGAUCUGAGUUCAAACCGGUGUAAGCCAGGUUGGUUUCUAUCUUUAAAAAAUUAUAAUAUUUUAGUACGAAAGGACCAAAUAUUAGAAUAAUUAUAUUUUAAAAAAGAAUAUUAUUAAUAUAAAUAAAGCUAUUUUGGCAGAUUAGUGCAAUAAAUUUAGAAUUUAUUUA
rnacentral:rRNA from 1 species